rnacentral:rRNA from 1 species
UACGUAGGGGGCAAGCGUUGUCCGGAUUUAUUGGGCGUAAAGCGCACGUAGGCGGAUUUGUUAGUCAGGGGUGAAAUCCCGAGGCUCAACCUCGGAACUGCCUUUGAUACUGCAAAUCUCGAGUCCGGAAGAGGUGAGUGGAAUUCCUAGUGUAGAGGUGAAAUUCGUAGAUAUUAGGAAGAACACCAGUGGCGAAGGCGGCUCACUGGUCCGGUACUGACGCUGAGGUGCGAAAGCGUGGGGAGCAAACAGG